rnacentral:rRNA from 1 species
GUGGGGAAUAUUGGACAAUGGGCGAAAGCCUGAUCCAGCCAUGCCGCGUGUGUGAAGAAGGUCUUCGGAUUGUAAAGCACUUUAAGUUGGGAGGAAGGGCAGUAAGUUAAUACCUUGCUGUUUUGACGUUACCGACAGAAUAAGCACCGGCUAACUUCGUGCCAGCAGCCGCGGUAAUACGAAGGGUGCAAGCGUUAAUCGGAAUUACUGGGCGUAAAGCGCGCGUAGGUGGUUUUGUAAGUAGGAGGUGAAAGCCCCGGGCUCAACCUGGGGACUGCCUCCAAAACUGCAUGACUAGAGUACGGUAGAGGGUAGUGGAAUUUCCUGUGUAGCGGUGAAAUGCGUAGAUAUAGGAAGGAACACCAGUGGCGAAGGCGACUACCUGGACUGAUACUGACACUGAGGUGCGAAAGCGUGGGGAGCAAACAGGAUUAGAAACCCCUGUAGUCC